rnacentral:misc_RNA from 1 species
UCCGGCUUGUCACCGGCAGUCCCUUCAGAGUGCCCAACUAAAUGGUAGCAACUAAGGACGGGGGUUGCGCUCGUUGCGGGACUUAACCCAACAUCUCACGACACGAGCUGACGACAGCCAUGCAGCACCUGUCUCAUGGUUCCUUACGGCACUCCCACAUCUCUGCGGGAUUCCAUGGAUGUCAAGACCAGGUAAGGUUCUUCGCGUUGCAUCGAAUUAAACCACAUGCUCCACCGCUUGUGCGGGCCCCCGUCAAUUUCUUUGAGUUUUAACCUUGCGGCCGUACUCCCCAGGCGGGAUACUUAACGCGUUAGCUUCGGCACUGAAGGGGUCAAUACCUCCAACACCAAGUAUCCAUCGUUUACGGCGUGGACUAC